AUGAAUUAAUAACCACCACCAAUUUGUACCCUAAAAAAUAAAUAAGAAAACCACCAUCAAUCUUAAUGCUACUCCUAUAUUUCUAUACGUCAAGUAUAUCAUUAAUCAUGUCACACUCAAUCUACCUUGCUUGUUGCUACUAUAUGCAGCGUUUCUUGGGGGUAGGGGGAUUCCACAUUCUUGGUUUGGAUAAGGAGCAAAGCAGUUCAGAUUACAGAAGCUGUGUUCCGUCCAAUCCGAUCCAUUCCGAUCCAAUCCAUUCCAUUUCAUUUCGUUUCAUUCCAUCAGGUAGCUGUGUUAAGAGUUUUGUUUAGUUAUAGUAUGAAUAACAUCAGUGAUAUUUAUAAUAGGAGCAUUUAUGGAAGCUCUAUGUGAGUUUUGUGGGGUUGCAAGAGCUGUGGUUUACUGCAAGCCUGAUUCCGCUCGUCUAUGCUUGCAUUGUGAUGGGAAUGUCCACUCUGCAAAUUCUCUGUCUCGCAGGCAUCCCCGCUCGCUCCUCUGCGAUAAGUGUAAUUUCGACUCAGCAAUCGUGCGCUGCGUCGAUCAUAAAUUGUCUCUCUGUCAAGUUUGUGAUUGGAAUACAAAUGACUGUUUUGUAUUGGGACAUAAACAUGUGCUACUCACUUUCUACACUGGUUGUCCCUCUUUGGCAGAGUUAUCUAAGAUUUGGCCACAUUUGGUUGAUGCAAAUUCAUCAAAUGCUGCUUGGGAAUCACCUAGCACUAGUUCUUUGCCUAAAACUGAAAGCAGUUCCGGCCGCGGUCAGCAUUUGGAACAGCAACCUGAAAAGAAUGGUUUCGUUGGUUUGGCGAAUGACAAGUUGGGCGAAGGAGAUACGUGUGUCAAAUAUGAACCUUGGAUUGAAAAUUCUCCUAUUAUUCCAUCAAAUUCAAACUGCACACAAUACUACAAAGAUCAACCAUUUUUAUUUAAUCAAGACUCAAACCAACAGAAGCUUCAAGGAUUCCAUGAUGUUAAGGAUCUAAUAAUUCAUGAGGGGACCAGUCUAUGUGAAGGUUUCAAUGUGGAUGAUAUUCAAUUAAACUUUGAAAGUGCCGACGAAAUAAUAUUUGACUGCUCUCAAACUGCCACAAAAUACAACCAUGAAGAUGGAGGAAUAGAAUGUCUAUUAAUGGAUAAAAACAUUCCAGUCACAAAAUGUAGCAGUCACAUUGAGACUGCGGUAGAGGCUUCUUCAUCAGUUCAACAAGAUUGUAUGAUUUUUCCAUCAUCAGGGGCUGGUGGAUCAACAAAUUUGAUGCAGGGAUUCAACAAUAGUGCAAAUUGUGCACUUAUGCCUCCUAGUUGUAACAGAAGCAUGCCUCUAGAAUUUCCUCAGAGUCAAACUCAUUCAGGCAUAUCAAUUCAAUUACCUAACAUAAAUGGUGAAAGCAAUGUUGCUGAACUUCUAGAUUGUGGGUUACCUCCAGUGUUUCAUCCUGGUGAAUCGCAUUGGGAAUCAAAUUUGGAGGGUGCAUGUCCUCAAGCAAGGGAUAAAGCCAAAAUGAGAUACCAAGAGAAAAAGAAAACUCGAACGUUUGGUAAGCAAAUAAGAUAUGCGUCUCGCAAAGCAAGGGCUGAUACAAGAAAACGUGUGAAAGGUAGAUUUGUUAAAGCAGGUGAAGCAUAUGACUAUGAUCCUCUUUUGAGCGACCACUAAACAUUAUCUGCAAUCACAAAAUUUUCCUUGCAGGAUAUGAUUCUGAUUGGUAAGCUAAGACCUACAUAGUAUUUCUAGCUUGCAGAGGGGAGUCGAUGGCGAUCCACCCUAAACUUUAACAGGUUAGAAUGUAUGAAUCUCUAAGCUUGUGUGUCUCAAAUAAACACAGGCUAUAAUAAGGAAGAAACGGAGAGCUGGUGUUUGAAAAGCAGACCUUAUUUUGUCAUUUCUAAGAAGUGAUGAACCUUAGUCCUUCACAAACACUACCUUCUCCAUCUCAAGAUAUUGUCCAAGAAUAGCAAACCUUAUUUUUGAUUACUGAGCAUUGUCAACUGUUGAUUGAGAUACAUGUUCCUGACUUGCUGGAAGCCACUGUCCACCUGCAGCAACUGUAUGCAUCUUUGACAACCUUUAUACUGCCUCAAUUAUUUCAUAUACUGAUAGAUUACACCAUUUUUUAUGAUUAUUCAUAAUUGUAUAAACAUUGAUUCAUUACACCAUUUUUUAUGAUUAUUCAUAAUUGUAUAAACAUUGAUUCAUUUCCUUCAAGGGAACUUCCUCUUAAAUAUGAAAUUUUAUUAAUCUUUGCUUGAUUGUUUCAAGUAAGAAACUUUACCUUUACUGUUCCAAAUUGUUUGCCAUUAAAUUAAACAGGUCAAAUUGUGGUCCACCAUAUAGACUGUUUGCACCAAAAACAUGUGACAUCAUCGACGCAGGGACACAAACACAGACAUUGGACACAAAACAAACACUGACACAUCGACACUGAUAAUAAUUUGAGAAAAUGCCACAAUUCAAUGUAAUAAUAUCUGUCGGUGUCAGACACCGACACAUGUUCGGCACCGGGACAUGGCUAAUCCCAGAAGUGUCCGUGCUUCAUAGGUGACAUGUGGCUUUUAUAUUCAAAUCAAAUAUCAAAACAAACAGAAAAAUAUUCUUUAGGUUGGUGGCACAAUUGCUAAAAUAUUUGUAAACCCUAAGCUCUCUGUGACAAGGAAUCAAAUCUAAUGGAUUUGAGUUAAGAAAACAUUUGUUGAUAAGGACUAGGUGGAGUUAACUUUACUUGGCAGACAUAUAUGGUAUAGUUAGUAGAUGCAACUAGCCUUAGUUAAUAGACAUAUCUGGUGUAGUUAUCAAUUGCAGAUAGACACAAC